UUUACCUUCGGGUAUUGAGGAUGGCGGACGGGUGAGUAACGCGUAAGGAACUUGCCUCUUGGACUGGGACAACUGUUGGAAACGACAGCUAAUACCGGAUAUUAUGAGAUUCUCGCAUGGGAAACUUAUGAAAGCUAUAUGCGCCAAGAGAGAGCCUUGCGUUCCAUUAGCUAGUUGGUGGGGUAAUGGCCCACCAAGGCGACGAUGGAUAGCCGGCCUGAGAGGGUGAACGGCCACAAGGGGACUGAGACACGGCCCUUACUCCUACGGGAGGCAGCAGUGGGGAAUAUUGGACAAUGGGCCACAAGCCUGAUCCAGCAAUUCUGUGUGCACGAUGAAGGUCUUCGGAUCGUAAAGUGCUUUCAGUUGGGAAGAAGAAAGUGACGGUACCAACAGAAGAAGCGACGGCUAAAUACGU
rnacentral:rRNA from 1 species